rnacentral:piRNA from 1 species
UGAGAAAAGGUGCUUCAUAGGUGCUGGC